rnacentral:rRNA from 1 species
CUGGGCGUAAGCGCACGCAGGCGGUCUGUCAAGUCGGAUGUGAAAUCCCCGGGCUCAACCUGGGAACUGCAUUCGAAACUGGCAGGCUAGAGUCUUGUAGAGGGGGGUAGAAUUCCAGGUGUAGCGGUGAAAUGCGUAGAGAUCUGGAGGAAUACCGGUGGCGAAGGCGGCCCCCUGGACAAAGACUGACGCUCAGGUGCGAAAGCGUGGGGAGCAAACAGGAUUAGAUACCCUGGUAGUCCACGCCGUAAACGAUGUCGACUUGGAGGUUGUGCCCUUGAGGCGUGGCUUCCGGAGCUAACGCGUUAAGUCGACCGCCUGGGGAGUACGGCCGCAAGGUUAAAACUCAAAUGAAUUGACGGGGGCCCGCACAAGCGGUGGAGCAUGUGGUUUAAUUCGAUGCAACGCGAAGAACCUUACCUACUCUUGACAUCCAGAGAACUUUCCAGAGAUGGAUUGGUGCCUUCGGGAACUCUGAGACAGGUGCUGCAUGGCUGUCGUCAGCUCGUGUUGUGAAAUGUUGGGUUAAGUCCCGCAACGAGCGCAACCCUUAUCCUUUGUUGCCAGCGGUUAGGCCGGGAACUCAAAGGAGACUGCCAGUGAUAAACUGGAGGAAGGUGGGGAUGACGU